GUCGCGGGGUGUGGGGGCCGGCGCUGACAAGAACAGGAGGAGAGCAUGAGCCCAAGAAAAGGAGAAACAAUGACUAGGGGAAACAGUCUGCAAACUAGGGCUAGGAAGGCCUGCCCCGCUCCCGCCAAGAACUGAGCUCGGUGAGCAAUGAAGCAGAAUGAAAAGGUAGCACCCUGUUUCUCAGGAAAUCAGUCGCAGAGGUGUCUCAGAACCUACGCAGGUCUUUCUCGCCUCUGAAAGUGACAAGCGUCUGCCCUGGCGUUGCUGCUUAUGAAAUGAAGAUCCAUUGGAGCCCGGCAGCCUUGUGACUCAGCCUGUCUCGUUCCAGGCUGUUAUCUAAGGCUUUUGUUUUCAGUUUCUCUGAUAGUUAAAGCAGAGGACACCUUGGGGAGUCUCGUACUCUCCAAGCCAUCGGCAUUCUGUAAUUCUUUUUAUCCAGCCCGCCUGCCAGUGUUUAAGGGACUCUGUCCUGAGUCAGGCAUGCACCCAGUGGAAAGACUGGAUCACAGAGGUAGCUACAGUCUGCUGAAGAGCUCAAAUACGGGAGGUCAGAGGAGGCGGCGUGUGCUUUUGGAUUGGGACGGAAACUCAAAGGGUUCUGACACAAAGCAGUCCAAGCAUUGGAGUAUAGCCACUAAGAAGCCUGCUGGCCAGGCAACAUGGUACUCAAAAAGUUUUGAGCAUCCCUGGACGCAUUCUAAUUUGAGAGAAAAACAGAUCGGGCUAGACUCUGGCUCAGACCAGAGCAAAGAAGGAGCCAUUACCUGGUUAUUUGAGAUAGUGACUUGCUUGUUCUGGCAUCAGAUAACUUGGAGGAACGAAAAUGAGGAAUGGCAUUACAGAUGUAUGCCACUGAACCCAGUUUAUGAGGUGCUUGAGGAUCAAGCCCAGGGCUCCAGGAAUGCCUGCCAAGUCAUGUCUUCAAGCUCAAGCCCUUCUCUCGACCCAUAUCCCAGUGUUUGGAAUUGCAUCAAGCACAAGGAACCCAAUGGAUAUUAGCAGAUUGGAACGGCCUGAACCCUGCCCCAUCCACUAAGCAACCUACUGACUAUCUU
ensembl:lncRNA